ACUCAAAGGAAUUGACGGGGAGGCGCACAAGCAGUGGAGCAUGUGGUUUAAUUCGAGACAAAGCGAAAAACCUCACCAGGAUUUGACAUUGAUCUGCAAGCGCACGGAAACGUGUGACCUUAGAGGGUGAUCAACAGAUGCUGCAUGGCUGUCGUAAGUUCGUGGCGUGAGCUGUACCCUUAAGUGGGACAACGAACGAAACCCGCACCGUAUGUUAAAUAUUCAUGCGGAACAGCCCUAUUUUUAGGGAGGAAGGGGCGGAUGACGUCAAGUCCGCACGGCUCUUACAUCCUGGGCUACACACAUCCUACAAUGGCGAAUAACAACGAGUUGCAAACUGGUAACAGUAAGCUAACCUCUAAAAUUUCGCCUCAGUUCAGAUUGGGGUCUGCAAUUCGACCCCAUGAAGUCGGAAUUGCUAGUAAUCGCGAAUCAGAAGGUCGCGGUGAAUACGUUCUCGCCUCUUGUACACACCGCCCGU
rnacentral:rRNA from 1 species